rfam:Bacillus smithii strain DSM 4216, complete genome.
UACAAUAGCUACGGGAAAAGCUCAAGGGUGGUCGGCAUUUUACCCCUAAAAGAGAGGGGGUGAUGCCGAUGACGGUAUUUCAAGCAUUGAUGUUUGCACUCACUUUCGCAAGUCUCAUUGUUUCGAUACUGUCAUAUCACCAAAGAAAAUAAUCCACCCUUGAGUUAACGAGACCGGGUGGAUUAUGGAUUCUUUCUGCCUUGUCGAUCCCCCUUGAAGGGAACCGUCUAUUGUAUAGUCGAAGGUGUUGCUGCACCUUCA